AGUAACACGUGGCUAACCUGCCCUUGAGACAGGGACAACCCCGGGAAACUGGGGAUAAUCCCUGAUAGAUGAGGACUCCUGGAAUGGAUCUUCGUUGAAAAGAUGCCUAGUGCAUGCUUCUAAGCAUUGCUCAAGGAUGGAGCCGCGGCCGAUCAGGUUGUUGGUGAGGUAACGGCUCACCAAGCCUUUAACCGGUACGGGCCGUGGGAGCGGUAGCCCGGAGAUGGGCACUGAGAUAAGGGCCCAGGCCCUACGGGGCGCAGCAGUCGCGCAAACUCUGCAAUGCACGAAAGUGUGACAGGGCUAUCCCGAGUGCCGUCCGCUGAGGACGGCUUUUCCACGCUGUAAGGAGGCGUGGGAAUAAGGAGAGGGNCAGACUGGUGUCAGCCGCCCGCGGUAA
rnacentral:rRNA from 1 species